UGUCAGGAUGAGGUGGAUGUGGAGGUGUUUAACCUGACAGGGGUCAGGAUCCAGACCCCUCUGGUCAAACUGUCUGUGGGCACUGAGAUGCCAGUGUAUGUGAUGGGCAGUGACAGUAGUCAGAACCCCUUUGCUCUGGGCAGUGUAGAGUCUGGUCUCUCCUUCCACUGGAAUCUGGGCAAGCUUGGAGUACUGGAGAUACAAACACGACACACUCAGGCGGGGGUGACUGUCUCUCCUGCCCAUAGUUUCUCUGUGCUGGUGAGGGCGUGGGCAGCGGGCAGGACCAGUGACAGUUCAGCUGGCCAAUCACACGUCAGCCUCCCACCAGCAGCUCUCUGACCAGAUACUGGUAAACACACUGGGUCCACCUCCUGCUUUUUCACCUCCUGCUAUUGAGACAUUUGUUUAUAGGUUGUUGUUGAGUAGUUUGUCUGUGAUAUGAUAACCUCUCCUCUCCAAUCUUUACUCCUUUCUACUCCUGUCCUGUCCUCAUCUCCUCUCUCCUCUCUAAGUUGU